rnacentral:rRNA from 1 species
AAUGAACGCUGGCGGCAUGCCUAACACAUGCAAGUCGAACGAGACCACCGGGUCUAGUGGCGCAUGGGUGUGUAACGCGGGGGAACGUGCCCUUAUGUAUGGAAUACCUCUCCGAAAGGGGUGCUAACACCGGAUAAUGUCUGCGGACCAAAGAUAUAUCGCACUUGGAUGGGCCCGCGUUGGAUUAGCUUGUUGGUAGGGUAAAAGCCUACCAAGGCGACGAUCGUUAGCUGGGUAGAGGGAAUGAUCAGCGACACUGAGGCUGGGACACGGCCCGGAAUCCUACGGGAGGCAGGAGAGCGUGAUAUAGGAAAAUGGGCGGAAGCCUGAAGCAGCAAUGCCGGGAGAGUGAUGAAGGCCUGAGAGAAGUAAAGCUCUUUUACACGGGAUGAUAAUGACGGUACCGAAAGAAUAAGCUCCGGCUAACUCCGUG